UACGAAGGGGGCUAGCGUUGCUCGGAAUCACUGGGCGUAAAGCGCACGUAGGCGGGUCCUUAAGUCAGGGGUGAAAUCCCGGAGCUCAACUCCGGAACUGCCUUUGAUACUGGGGAUCUUGAGUCCGGAAGAGGUGAGUGGAACUCCGAGUGUAGAGGUGAAAUUCGUAGAUAUUCGCAAGAACACCAGUGGCGAAGGCGGCUCACUGGCUCGGUACUGACGCUGAGGUGCGAAAGCGUGGGGAGCAAACAGG
rnacentral:rRNA from 1 species